UGAGAUAAACGGCUAAUUAAUUGAAGUAAAAUUUAGACAGCAUUCUUUAACAGAAUAAAAAGAUUAACCAGUAUUAAGCUUGACAGGGGAUAUAAAAACGAUUUGAAUCAUCUGUUACACUUUAGGUGUUACCUUCCCUGUUACUAAGCCCACUGGAACCAGAACUACAACUUCAUGUAUUAUCCAAUCCAAACCAAUAUCAAAACUUUCAAAGAAACCAUCCGUCAAAAACUCCCAAUGUAAAGGAUCGUUGACGAUAAUCUGGUAUUUCGACUGGAAAUUCGAACUUCCCAACCUCAGCAGCUGACAAAUCGUACCAAGCCACAACAUGCCUAGGUUUUUCAUAAGCUGGCCAAUGGACGAUACCAUUAAGGAAGGUAUCUCUAGCUUCCAAGACCAUCCAUCCGUGCACUGAAAAUGUACCCGAUCUCUCGUUGUAUAAACCUC
rnacentral:lncRNA from 1 species